rnacentral:rRNA from 1 species
UACGUAGGGGGCUAGCGUUGUCCGGAAUCAUUGGGCGUAAAGCGCGUGUAGGCGGUCCGGUAAGUCCGCUGUGAAAGUCGGGGGCUCAACCUCGAAUGCCGGUGGAUACUGUCGGGCUAGAGUGCGGAAGAGGCGAGUGGAAUUCCUGGGUGAUAGCGGUGAAAUACGCAGAUAUCGGGAGGAACACCAAUGGCGAAGGCAGCUCGCUGGGACGGUACUGGAC